AGUGAACGCUGGCGGCGUGCUUAACACAUGCAAGUCGAACGAGAACGGAUUAUAGCUUGCUAUAAUUGUCAGCUAAGUGGCGCACGGGUGAGUAAUAUAUAGGUAACGUGCCCCAAAGAAGAGGAUAACAGAUGGAAACGCCUGCUAAGACUCUAUAUGCCUUUAUGACAUAAGUCAGCAAGGGAAUAUUUAUAGCUUUGGGAUCGGCCUGUACAGUAUCAGUUAGUUGGUGAGGUAAUGGCUCACCAAGACAAUGACGCUUAACUGGUUUGAGAGGAUGAUCAGUCACACUGGAACUGAGACACGGUCCAGACUCCUACGGGAGGCAGCAGUGGGGAAUAUUGCACAAUGGACGAAAGUCUGAUGCAGCCAUGCCGCGUGA
rnacentral:rRNA from 1 species